CUCCAUCCUAGUAAACCAAAGGGAUAAUAGUGGUGUGUGUGUCUUUUCUUCCAGAAGAGAGGUAUAAUUUGCUUUGCUAUGUUCAGGAUGCAGAUUAUCAGAGAGUGUGAGGGGGUUGCGGUGUGAUGGAGUAGGUUAAUGGCCGAGAGGAAUGGUGGUGGGUUAUUAGAGAACAUUCUAAUGUUGGAAGCAAUGCUUCUCCAAAAGGGUACUAUAUCCUGACAUUCCAUAUGUGAAGUAAAGAACACGGGUAUCUUCCAC